UGAGUUCUCAUCUGGUAACAAAGAAAUGUGACUUCUCUUGCCAUCUAAAUCAACAUUAAUUGACCUGAAAGAUUUAAAGAAGAAAAGAAAAGAACACUUCAUUUUUCAUCUCUUAGAUGAUAGCAUCUGGACUGACAGACCAAAGCUGGAGAGAGAGGAGCUGCCAGAACAGAAACAUGGAGGUACUGAGCUCCAGUCAGCUGCUGUCACCGUUCCCAGCUUAAUUCACCACCAGUGAUCCCAUGGUUAACACAGUCCUUGGGGGUCUUUGUGCCCACAGCUCAGCCUUCCCUAGCGUUACAGAAGUAAGAACUUUCUGGACAUUAUGUAUUUGGAUUUUUCUUUAAAUACCUUGAGCUUAUCAAUCUGUGUGCAUGUGAAGUAGUCCAUAUCAGAUACACUUUGCUAGUAGCUAAAACAUUGCUAAGCUCAGAGGAAGCUACUUUUCUGAAUGCGUGUGUGCUCGUGCACUCCUGUCUUUAUUCCUCUCUUUUCUUUCCACAAGUAAUCCUAGUUGGAGUAGAUUUUAGUUAUUCCAUUAGCACAAGAAUAUCUAUCUGAACAAGGCCUCUUGGACACGGGAGCUUUGACUCCCCUCUUCUGUGUACGUAAAGAGAGAUUGUUUUGACUUUCAAAGCAGUGUGAAACAGAAACAGAAAGCACUUUGUCCCAGCCAGCAAUAGUCAUUCCUUAUACACAGCUUUUUCAACAACACAUUUCAAAAUGUCUCCUCUUGUCUCAGGGCAAGCAGGAACUGACGCUGGGAACCAGUUAUCACAGCCCUUGGAACAAGCAUCCUGUUGAAGUACUGAUAUAGAGAAGUGAAGUUAGCAAGUUAAAGACUUGAGAGUAUUUUUGUUGGAGAAAGGAGUUGAUGAGCGAGUUCUAAUUGGGGAGUUUAUAAUAGAAUACAAUUAUAGAGUUGUGUUUUUUGUGAGUUCUGAGAAAACAAAGAUAUUUGAGAAGAGGACGCCCAACAACUGUAAAAUAAACAUGCUGAGAAGCAGAGAUUUGUAGGGACAGGCAGUUCAGCUACCCAAG
ensembl:lncRNA